AAAAAUUUAGUUAAAAUAUAACAUUAGUUUGUCAAACUAAAAUUAUUUAUUAAAUAAUUUUUA
rnacentral:tRNA from 1 species